CGCCCCAGGGCCGUGCAGGCGCCCGGCUUCGGUUCCCCGCCGCACCGGUUCCUUUUCCGCGUACCCCCACCACCCCGAAGCGGUUUCUUCUCCUCCCAGCUCGCGAUCCCUUCCCCCAGCCAGCCCCGGCCCAGAUACGUUUUCCGACGCCGCUCCUCUCAUCGUCGGGGACUGGCGCCGCCCAACCCCAGCUGAUGCUCCUCCCGUCGCCGAUCUGGAGUCUGGCGCCUCCCGUCAUUGCUGAUCCGUUCCCGACGCCGCAUCUCAUCCCGACGCAGCACCUCCUCCCGUCGCCGCUCCCCUCCUCCGACGGUCAUGGAGGAAUUGAUGGCACGACGUGGAUGAAUCGCCUGCGUAUCCCCGCAUUCAAGGUGACGCCCUCCCGUUCCCGAUGCCGCUCACUCCUCCCGUCGCUGUCGAUCCUCCUCCAGCCUGCUCUCUGAUCAGUGCAAGAUUGGUCCACAGAUGCAUAUCAACCUGAGCAGGGUGGUGUUCGAGCAGCUUCCGAUUUGGUUGUCAAUCGGAUUGGCGACGACGGUCACCAGGGAUCCAAUCUCCUCCGCUAUAGCUUGGGGUUCCUUCCCUGGAGCGACAGUUUAUCUCCGUCGCUUGUGGAGAGUCUGAGGACACAAGGAGCAUAUUCCGUUGGGUCUCCUCUCCAAGACUUCAGAUGCUCCUGGUGCUCCUUGAAAAGCUCGGCUUAAGGCAUGAGAGGUGAGCUCUUACCUAUUGCUGCUUGAUCACUUUAUGAGUUCUUGUGUUUCCUUAGACAGAGGCAUGCUUAACCUGUUUAACUGAUUUACACUUUUGGUAGUAGUUUUAUAUUAAGUAAUUAUUUUCCCUGUUUAAAAAUUGAAUAAUAACUGUUUUUUUUUGUUCUUUUGUGUGGCUAGUGAAGGAGUUUUUUAGCUUAGGUCUGUCACUGUAUUCUAAAUCUACUUCAUAGGGGCAUCUCCAGUGUUCAAAUCGAACUCAACUGAAAAGGUAGUGCCACGGAGGAUUUGUUCGAUUUCUACUGAAUCAAACAUAAUCACAGUAACGCGUUAGGGAUCCAUCAUAUAAUAAAAUACACCAUUUCUAUCUCACCAUCCUCAAGCUGUAAUCUUGAUGAGCACAUUGUACUAGCGCACUACUUUUUGCCCAUUAUUUAACUACCUCGGUUCGACUUGCCUUUAGCAUUUGAUGCAAGUAAUCUUUUGAUUCCGUUUGACCACUGCAGUGUCUAAAUCGAAUCAAAGUUCUGCUCUGUCCUGUCACGGUUCGAUUUCCAUGCACACUGGAGGUGCCCUAAUUCAUGCUUUGUAUGUCUUAUAUGGAGAAAGAAUAUGCAGAAAUGAAGCUCUUCCUUUGUGCUGA